AGAGGAAAGAGGAAGGGAAUAUUGAUUAGAGUCUAUUUACAUGGCAUCAAACGGUAGCGGAAAAUACGACGAUGAAAUUUGCCUAUUCCAGUUUGUCCAUAUUUUUGACGUGGAGUUCAUAGUGGUUAUUGUCUUUUAGCUAAAAAAAUGCAUUACUUGAUAUUUAAUGAUUGAUUUCAUUUUCACUACAAACAUUAUGCAACGAUUCGCUUCCAGAAGCCUGCAAUGAUCGCCAUUUAGAACCAUAAACGAAAGCAUUAUCAAUAUCCUGAAAGUAUUCGUUUCCUAAAUCAUGGACAAAUUCAUAGAUUCACUUUCAGAAUCUUGAAAAAAAAAUCGAUUCUGACCCUGUAAAGAUUUCCUUUCAGAGUCCUUCAAAGAUUAGGUUCAACAAUCUAGAAAAGGUUUCUUGAGGAUUCCAGAAAGGAUUCACUUUUGAUGAAAUUCGCUUAUAGAAUCCUGAAAACAUUUGAUCCCAGAAUCAUGGAAGAAUUUUCUUCCUGAAACCUUCAAGUAUUCGCUUAUAGAGUACUGAAAGGGUUUACUUGCGAAUCACGGAAGAAUUCGCUUCCUGAAUCCUGUAAGGAUUCGCUUGUAGAGUCAUGUUUUUAUUCGUGUUCUGAAACCAUACUACCAACAUCCUGCAGCUUCUCUUCCAGAAUUCUGUAGAGAUUUGCUAUCAUGAUUUUGCAAAAUGUGAAUCUUCAAAAAGUUUACAAGCAAAAUCAUAGAAGAAAUCGAUUCUAGAGCCGUGGAAUGGUUGAUUUCCAAAAAUCUGCAAAGAUAUUCAUUUAGAAUCAUGAAAGAAUGCGUUUCUAGAAUCUUGAAAGCAUUUGCUUUCAGUAUUGGUUAACAGAAUCCUGAAACGAUUCGCCUCAAGAAUAAUGAAAAAAACGCUUUCAGAAAGCUAGGGAUUCGCUUACAGAAUCUUGAAAGGACUCGUUAAGUCUUGCUUCAGGAAUCCCGAAAAGAUUUGCUUUCAGAAUCAUGAAGAUAAUUGCAUGAAGAAUCUUCCAGAACCCUACAAAAAUUAGUUUACAGAGUACUGCAAUGAUUCGCCUCCAGAAUCAUGGAAUCCUGAAAAGAAUUGCUUCCAGAAUAGAAGCAUUCAGUAUCCAGCAAAUUUUUGCAACGUUUUGUGUCCAGAGCCAUGUAAUAAUUCAUAUGAUGAAUCCUUCAAAGAUUCGAUUCAAGAAUUAUGUAACGAUUCGUUUCUAAAAUCCUGUCAGAUUUCGACUUUAUUUCUUUUCAGAAAUUGAAUUUCCAGAAAACUGAAAGGAUUCAUUUCUAGUAUCUUGCAAGGAUUCACUUUUAGAGUAUUUCAUGGAUUGGUUUACAGAAUCUCAAACUGAUUCGCCUCCAGAACCAUAGAGGAACCUCCAGAGUACCCUUCCACAACUCGGGAAAAAUGCGUCUAGAAGAAAGGUUUGUCUCAAGAUUCCAGCAACGAUUAGGAUCCUGUAACCCAGCAAACCAGAGAUUAUAUAAGAAAGGUAAUAUAAAAUUGUACAAAGUUUAAGUUGGAAUUGGAUAUGAUGCAGAAUUUAAUUGAUUGAAAUUGUUUAUUAAGCCAGUAAUUUGAUCUGAUUAGAAUUUUAUUAGAAUCAGAAUCUUAUCAAAUUCAAAUUCCGUUUGACAAAAUAUGUAACAUCAUAUUGUCAUUCCCUUACGAUUCCUUCUUUACUUGAUUUGAUUUUAAUGUAAACUUCAAUGUGAUAUUAGAUAUGAGUUCAUCUCAUGUAAAUAUAAAAUCAUACUGGGGGAGAUUACACAUCGUCGGAUUCAUCUCAGAACCAGACACAGACCGGCACCUGUUCAUGAAUUAAUUGAUAUACUGGAUGUUGAAACAUGAAAAUCUUACAGAAACACAAUGAAAUAACUUUGUAUAAGCAUUUCUGUUCAGCUGCUUUAAUAAUUACUUCACUUCGAAAUUGAUGUAGGGUAAAUGAUCUAAUUUUCGACCCAGUGCUAAUUUUCGACCCAUUGAUAAAACAAACGUUAUUUUAACUACUAUUUGAAAUUUUCAAACAUUUAUAAAUCACUGGAAUAUGCCAUUGUUGUUAUAUCUAUCAUGAUCCAAUAAAAAUUGCAUCUAUAUAACGGAGUUUUAAUCCUAAAUCGAUAAAUCCUGAUUUUCUUGUGUCUGAAUCAGUCCUUUUUCUUCCAUUGAUGAAUAUUCGUCAAAUAUUGAAAAGGCUCAAAUCGGUAUAAAAACUGAUCAAAGAGAUGCCUAAUCGAUAAAGUUUGGUGAAACCUGAUAAAAUUUAAGCAAAUUGUAAUUAAUUUUGUGCAUCUAUCAGCGAAAAUAAAUUUUAUUACGCGUUUGAAAUUGUUCGAAAAUUGAAACACCAGGUUUCAAUUUUCGACCGGUCGAAAAAGCAUGCCAUGCUUUCAGCAGGUGAUGUGUUUUAGUUUUCGACCCUUCAUCAUAAGUAAACAUCGUUCAUAGUGGUGGUUGUUCUUUCGUGGAGUUGAAUUUCUUGCUUCAACGGUUUUUAACCAAAACGCGCCCAGAAAAGUACAGACAAGUCUACGCAGAAGCCGACAUCCAGCAAAUAGCAUCUAAGGUAGUCAACAAGAACUCGAUUAUGGAAUUACGAAAUUUCAUAUACAUGUUCAAUUCAAGAUUGGCGAAGAAAUAUCUAUCAGUCCGUUAUUCGUCCUGGACCGAUCACAAUGGAGGAGGAGACGGAAUUUGAAGAGUUGAUAUUCGGCAGUCAGCGACGGGGAUGGUUAGUGAAACGUAACUAAAUGUUGGAGCAUGUUGAAGGGUUUCUUGAUACUGCUGAAAGGCAAAACUAUUUUAAAGACAACCAUCCAGGUGAAUUGAUAGAGCAAGAUAAAUAAUAUCGCAAUAUUCUUAGAAAGGAGUUGAAGAGAGAAUCCGAAAUGAAGAAACAAGACCAUGCUGAAACAAAACGAUUCGAGUAAAAGUUGUAGUGAAAAAAAAGGAAACAAUGUACCGAAAUGACCCAUAAAAUAAAAGUCAAAGCCUAAAAAAGCAGUCAAAGUCGAGAGAUAAAAGAAGAAUUUGAGUUUUUACUUGAACUAUUAAAUAAUGAAAUGAAAUAAAUGUUUUAAACAAAAUGGUUUUACAUGUUUAAAUGACAAUAUCCCAUUGCUGUACUAUAUCCUAUCGCAACAGUAGAAUAUAAUGUAGUUUGAUCCACGUAAAACCGUUAAAAUGGUAGAAAAACCGAUCAGUGUUCAUGAAUGUCGCUUUUCCUUGGUCGUACAGGUUGUACAUAAGGAUCAAGAAUCCAUCAUUCAAUCAUCAGCAAUCAUCAAAAAUGAAAAAAAAA